rnacentral:rRNA from 1 species
UACGUAGGCAGCGAGCGUUUAUUCGGAAUUACUGGGCGUAAAGAGUGUGUAGGCGGUGUUCCCAGUCUGUUGUGAAAUCUCCCGGCUUAACUGGGAGGGUGCAGCGGAAACUAGAAUGCUAGAGGGUGGGAGAGGUAAGCGGAAUUCCUGGUGUAGCGGUGAAAUGCGUAGAUAUCAGGAGGAACACCUGUGGUGUAGACAGCUUACUGGACCACUUCUGACGCUGAGACACGAAAAGCGUGGGGUAGCAAACAGG